rnacentral:rRNA from 1 species
CCUACGGGAGGCAGCAGUGAGGAAUAUUGGUCAAUGGACGCAAGUCUGAACCAGCCAUGCCGCGUGCAGGAAGACGGCUCUAUGAGUUGUAAACUGCUUUUGUACGAGGGUAAACUCAGAUACGCGUAUCUUUCUGAAAGUAUCUUACGAAUAAGGAUCGGCUAACUCCGUGCCAGCAGCCGCGGUAAUACGGAGGAUUCAAGCGUUAUCCGGAUUUAUUGGGUUUAAAGGGUGCGUAGGCGGUCGGUUAAGUUAGAGGUGAAAUCCCGAGGCUCAACUUCGGAAUUGCCUCUGAUACUGGUAGGCUAGAGAGUAGUUGCGGUAGGCGGAAUGUAUGGUGUAGCGGUGAAAUGCAUAGAUAUCGCGAAGAACUCCGAUUGCGAAGGCAGCGUACCGGCGCGAGACUGACGCUGAGGCACGAAAGCGUGGGGAUCGAACAGGAUUAGAUACCCCAGUAGUC